UUUUUUUUUUUUUAAAUGCCAAAUACACUUUCUGACAUUGUAAAGAUUGCCUUACUGUCUGUGAUUCCUUAUUCCUGGCCCCUGUCCUGUAGAGCUGGUCGCAUGCAGGCUUGGUCUGAGGCAGCUGGGGACAAGAGUGGCUAGCCAAGGCAGGCAUGCACUUGCCAUCCCACUGGCCAGGCGAGCUUAGGGAGCAGGAGGGCUUUCUCCCAGAAGCGCGUGGCUCGGGGUGCGAUGGAAGAUCCUCCAGAUCCAGUCCCAAAUUGCUCACUGUUUCUCAAGGGAAGUUGCCACCAGAGUAGCAUGUGGAGAGGUGUCCAAGAGGCGCUGUUGAGUUAGGGAUUUCUGGGUUUGUUUGGUUUUGGUUUGGUGUUUUGUUUUUUUUUAGUUUGUUUUUUGUUUUCUGUUUUUUUUUUUUCCAAGGCAAAGUUGACCGCAGUUCUUGUGAUCAGUUCUAAGAUUACAAAACUGCAUUUAUUCACCAGUUACAUACCAUAACGUGGAAUUUUGAUAAUGAACUUAGUUACGUGAUUGGUGAAGGUGCCAAUGUAGCACUGCCAUUUUUGAAGGUCUUCAGUGUCAUUUGUGGGGCUUUUGUGUAUUUGGACAAAGCUGGGGAUGUGGGGAAGAGACUUUAUUUUAUUUUACUUUAAUUUUCAGAUAGUGCAUAUGGAUUUUGAUUUUGCUUACCAGUCACCUCUAGUGCUGUUGCUAUUGUUACUAUCGCUGACCCGGUAUUUCCAAGUAGUGGCAGGUACGGUGUGGUACAGUGACAGCAGUGACUGAGGCUCUGCCAAAUUGCCCGCGGGCAUAUCAGUGACAGCCCAAAUGUGGGUGGAGGAAACCUGUAAUUUCCUUAUUACGUAUGCUUGAAACAAACCUACUGCUAUUCUUUGAAAAUGAAAAUAUAAACUGGUUGAAAUGAAAGCAAUUAGGGCUGUACAUAAUGGCCCUGGCCCUGCCUUUUAAGCUACUUUGGAGAACUCUUUUGUAAAGCCACUUCUUUUGAUCACGCUUCUGCAUCACCAAGCAGACUUCUAAAAUCAAUAAAUCAUUGGUUACUAGAAAUAGUUCAAGUCUAAUAGUGAUGUUUUUGUGCUGUUUAUAGUUCAUUGGCAACACUGCAGCUGUACGAGCCCUUCUGUCGAGGUGUUUAUAACUUGGUUAUUUGCGGUUGUUUCUGAGCAAAAAGGUGGCGAGGUCAUCCCUUUCCAGGGACCAGCUAAUAAACACUUCCAGUAUCAGAAGAGGAGGAGGAGAAAUCGUUUCAGCCAACUAUAAAAUUCAAGAUUUUUGGGUGCUUUUUACUCAACUGUUCUUAUUGUGAUAAUGUUCAAACUGCAAUUUAAUGCAGAGGAGUUUUUUUUGGUUUUUUUUUUUUAAGACUAAUUUUUUUAAAAAAGAAAAGAAAUGGUCAUUAUUAGUAUUUGAAGAUCAGAACUGCACAUGCACAGUAAUUUUCUAUGAAGUGUUUAAUGAGCACACCCACUACAUUGUGUUCCAUAUUACAGGUCAAUGUAAUAUUAGAUAAGACUUGCAUGAUAAACAAAUUCAUUGAGUCAAUAUUACGCUUUAAAACUUAUAGUCAAGAUUGGUGUCUUAUGUAAACACAUUUAGCCAAUUUGAAGAAAACGCACAUUAUAUAUAUAUACAUACCUAUAUAUAUACCUAUAUAUAAAAAAAUGCCAACUGUAAAGGAUUCUUUGGAACCACUAUGAUCUGUGUAAAUGUGUAUUUAGGCACUUUAUUAAAAAAAUGGAAUUUGAGCUGAUAGAUGGUAACAAGUUCUUCAAAGUUGCUUGGCAUAAUACCUUACAUGGGAUGAAGUUCAUGGUUUUGAUAAAGGCGGUGUCCCUGCGCUUAAAAAAAGAAGCAAAAACUGAAUUCCAAAGCCUGCCUAAAAGAGCCCCCCCCUUUUGUGUCAUCAGGUGUCCCAGCUGUGAGCGUGCUGAGGGUGAGACCUGCUCCUGACAAAGCACAUCCUUGUUUUGGGGCAGAGGGACAUUGGCGUGAGAGGCCUGUAGGGAAGCACACCUUCCUCCUCCUGCCAGCCGCCCGCUCCUGCAGCUCUGUGACUCCUGGAGAGGAUGGAAACUCCCCAGCCGCUGAUGCCAGGCACUGGCCCAGAAACAACAUAGAUGGAAAAGAAAUGGCACACGGUGGCCAUGCUCACUCAGCUGACUUUGAGCCCCCAGCCAAGUCUAACCUCCACCAUAAAACUUCAGAACUGCAAAAGAAAAACAAACAAAAUGAAACAAAAUAACAAACAAAAAAAGAAUUAAAAAAAUUUGAGGGUGUUCAUACAUAGCUCAUUUUUCUCACAUUGAAUGUUGCUUUUUCUUUUUGGUUGCUUUGCUCAAUUACAGUAAUAUUCCAGUGGAUUCUUCCUUUAUUACUACUUCCUGGGCUACAAUUUUUUUCUUUUUUUUUUUUUCCUAUUAUUUUGAAGUGCUUUAGCUGCAACAGUGCUACUGUUAAUACUCCUUUUUAAACUUUUUAAAAGGUGAUACUGUAACUUGUGUAGUAUUAAAAGUGUUUUAAUGAAGAAUGUGUGAUUACAAUUUUUUUUCCUAACCCACUUCCAUUACUUUUUUUUUUCAAAGUUACUUUUUCCUGGCAGAUUUUUUUUCAACUGCACGGUGCUUUUGUUGAUAGCUGCUGAACUAACCUGCUGCCAGUUUGGCAUUUUAUAGGUUUUCUUAUUCUUUUUUUUUUUCUUUUAUGACACUAAGCAUAAGGAAACUAGGAAUUUCAAAUACUUUCUGCAUUUUUUUUUGUAUCUCUAACAAAAGGAAGAAAGAAAACUUGAAAAAGCUAUAGUUGUAGAAUAUUAUUUAAUUUUUUUUUCAUACUGUCCUGACAUUUAUUUGUAAACAGACAGCAGUGUGGGACAAGAAGGGAUGCAUGGAGCUGGUGGGUGCUGCCCAGUGCCUGGGUCCCAGGGGGUGGGAAAGGUGCCACACAAGGGAAGCUUUGACCGCCUUUGCAGUGGCCUCAGAAAACCUGGUAUGUUUGAGAGCUCUCUGUUUGGACGUGCUGUAAACCAGGCCAUGGCAACCGCGUGUUUUUAUGAACCAGCACUUAGGCAAAGGGUAUAAAUACAUUUGAGAGUGCUCUCUAGUGGCUUGUUAUGUCAACAGAGCCCCUGGAUCCUUUCCUUCUGCACCCGGGCCAAGCCCUGCUUGCCUGUCCAGCUGGCAGGGCGGCGGCUCUCAGUGGGACAGGAUGGGACACGGCUCUGGGGACACCCAGCCACCCGUCCGCCUGUACGGGGGCACCUGCCCUGCUUGUUGCCCCCACUCCAUGUGCACAACUUGCCCCAAAUGUGGGACAAUGUGCAAUGUGGGACACCCCAUGUGCAGUGCAGCAUGUUAUGGUGCAGCUGCAGUGCCCACACCAAGACAGUGUCUCCUCAGGAAACACGUGGAAAUGAAUGGCACCAGGGGUGGCUGAGCUACUUGGAGCCCCGACUCUCCUGCUUCACUCCAACGGGACUAUGUCCAGUUAUUAGGCUUAAAAAGGUUCAGCCCACAGCAUUUCAUGUUUCUCCUCCUUGAGCAUUUGCAUUGAGGUAGCUGCAUCUUUUGAAAAAUAAUUGAAAAAAAACCCCAAGCUCAAUCACCACCUCUCCUCAAGUGAACUCUUGUCUCUAGAGAUGCCAUAGGUCCAGCCCAGUAUAAACUAACUGCAGUAUAAACUAACUCCCAUAAUGAGGCAAAUUAAAAAAGAGAAAGAAAGAAAGAAAAGAAAAAAGAAAAGAAAAA
rnacentral:lncRNA from 1 species